rnacentral:rRNA from 1 species
UACGGGGGGGGCAAGCGUUGUUCGGAAUUACUGGGCGUAAAGGGCUCGUAGGCGGCCAACUAAGUCAGACGUGAAAUCCCUCGGCUUAACCGGGGAACUGCGUCUGAUACUGGAUGGCUUGAGUUUGGGAGAGUGGAAUUCCAGGUGUAGCGGUGAAAUGCGUAGAUAUCUGGAGGAACACCCGUGGCGAAGGCGGCUCGCUGGGCCGUUCCUGACGCUGAGACGCGAAAGCUAGGGGAGCGAACAGG